UUCGGCCCCGGGCAUCACCGAGAAAUAUCCAAAUUUUCUCGAGCAAGUUUUGGACAUGUGAAAGUACAUAAUGAUAUCUAGCAUAUAUCCAAAUUUCAUCCCAAUCGGAGAUUGUUUGCAUUAGAAAACAUAGGGGACGAAGGUAGUGACGUGAGUGGAUAUGUUGAAACAUGAAAUGCCUUUGUGAAUUCAAAUGUUAAGGUAAUGUUUUCUAUUGAAAUAUCACAUGAUUUUUCGACAAAAACGCUAUACAAUAACGAUGUAAACUAUUACAUAAGUGAAAAGCCCAAAAAAUCAAAACAUACGUUAAUGUGGCAUUUCGUCGAACACUUGGUGUGCAAUGUGAAUUACUUCCUAUUUCUUACCUACACUACCAUGAAAGUUCCCCAAUUCACAAUAGUACACCAAUCAUCCACAAUACAUCCUAACUAAAUCCACACAUUGAAAGAUAAUCGUUAAAUGAAACUCGAAAUUAGGGAUUAGAGAAACAUACCUUGUAGUUUCAAUUCUUGUUAAUUUAGGUGUGGUACCUUAAUGUAGAAUCCAAUCCAAUUGAAUGAAGAGUGUGUGAAAUGGGUGUAAGUGUAGAGGAUGAAAUGA
rnacentral:lncRNA from 1 species